rnacentral:ncRNA from 1 species
GGCGGGUUGAGAGAGCCUAAUACAAUACCCGAAAGGGGAAUAUGCUCCGCCGUCUGAACACGGUAGUUGAUGCCCGCCCACCUAAU